UACGUAGGGAGCAAGCGUUGUCCGGAAUCAUUGGGCGUAAAGCGCGCGUAGGCGGCCCCGUAAGUCCGCUGUGAAAGUCAAAGGCUCAACCUUUGAAAGCCGGUGGAUACUGUCGGGCUCGAGUCCGGAAGAGGAGUGUGGAAUUCCUGGUGUAGCGGUGAAAUGCGCAGAUAUCAGGAGGAACACCAAUGGCGAAGGCAGCACUCUGGGACGUGACUGACGCUGAGACGCGAAAGCGUGGGGAGCAAACAGG
rnacentral:rRNA from 1 species